rnacentral:rRNA from 1 species
AGAGUUUGAUCCUGGCUCAGGAUGAACGCUAGCGACAGGCUUAACACAUGCAAGUCGAGGGGCAGCGAGGGAGUGGCAACACUUCUGUCGGCGACCGGCGCACGGGUGAGUAACGCGUAUGCAACCUGCCCUUCACAGGGGGAUAACCGGGAGAAAUUCCGACUAAUACCGCAUACGUCCUCCGGGGGCAUCCCCGGGGGAUGAAAGAAUUAUCGGUGAAGGAUGGGCAUGCGUGAUAUUAGGUAGUUGGCGGGGCAACGGCCCACCAAGCCCACGAUAUCUAGGGGUUCUGAGAGGAAGGUCCCCCACAUUGGUACUGAGACACGGACCAAACUCCUACGGGAGGCAGCAGUGAGGAAUAUUGGUCAAUGGACGAGAGUCUGAACCAGCCAAGUCGCGUGAAGGAAGACGGAUCUAUGGUUUGUAAACUUCUUUAGUGCGGGAACAAAGCGGCGUCGUGACGCCUGAUGAGUGUACCGCAAGAAUAAGCAUCGGCUAACUCCGUGCCAGCAGCCGCGGUAAUACGGAGGAUGCGAGCGUUAUCCGGAUUUAUUGGGUUUAAAGGGAGCGCAGGCUGCGAGGCAAGUCAGCGGUCAAAUGUCGGGGCUCAACCCCGGCCUGCCGUUGAAACUGUCCUGCUAGAGUUCGAGUGAGGUAUGCGGAAUGCGUUGUGUAGCGGUGAAAUGCAUAGAUAUGACGCAGAACUCCGAUUGCGAAGGCAGCAUACCAACUCGCGACUGACGCUGAGGCUCGAAAGCGUGGGUAUCGAACAGGAUUAGAUACCCUGGUAGUCCACGCAGUAAACGAUGAAUACUAACUGUUCGGAGGGCGACCUCUGAGUGGUAAAGCGAAAGCGUUAAGUAUUCCACCUGGGGAGUACGCCGGCAACGGUGAAACU